rnacentral:rRNA from 1 species
CAGUCGUACUUACGGGUAAUCAGCCUUUUGGGUGUGAUUUUGUGGAGUGUGAGGAGUUAAACGCCUUCAUGCCUGCAUAUUCGUGCACUUUGGGUGUACUUGCCCGUGUGUAAGUUAACAUCAAUUUUGGUGGUCAUAAAAUGACUGGAGGAAUGUAGCUUCGAUCUUGUAUUGAAGUGUUAUAGCUUCGGUAGAUGUGAUGAAUCGGGGAUUGAGGAUUGCGAACGGAC